rnacentral:rRNA from 1 species
UACAGAGGGUGCAAGCGUUGUCCGGAAUCACUGGGCGUAAAGGGCGCGUAGGCGGCUUGGUAAGUAGGGGGUGAAAUCUCACGGCUCAACUGUGAGGCUGCCUUCUAGACUGCCGAGCUUGAGCACAGUAGAGGCUGGUGGAAUUCCCGGUGUAGCGGUGGAAUGCGUAGAGAUCGGGAAGAACAUCUGUGGCGAAGGCGGCCAGCUGGGCUGUUGCUGACGCUGAUGCGCGAAAGCGUGGGGAGCGAACAGG